GGUUAGGGUUGGAGCUAGGGUUAGGGUUAGGGUUAGGGUUGGAGUUAGGGUUAGUGUUGGAGCUAGGGUUAGGGUUGGGCUUGGAGCUAGGAUUUUUCUGAGUGCAAUGAACCAACUCCCGAGUCUCUAGGACGUUCCUAAAAAAAUUUGAUUUUUUCCCAUAGGAAUGCAUGGGUUAGGGUUAGGGUUAGGGUUAGGGUUGGAGCUAGGGUUAGGGUUAGGGUUAGGGUUGGAGUUAGGGUUAGUGUUGGAGCUAGGGUUAGGGUUGGGCUUGGAGCUAGGAUUUUUCUGAGUGCACUGAACCAACUCCCGAGUCUCUAGGACGUUCCUAAAAAAAUUUGAUUUUUUCCCAUAGGAAUGCAUGGGUUAGGGUUAGGGUUAGGGUUGGAGCUAGGGUUAGGGUUAGGGUUAGGGUUGGAGUUAGGGUUAGUGUUGGAGCUAGGGUUAGGGUUGGGCUUGGAGCUAGGAUUUUUCUGAGUGCAAUGAACCAACUCCCGAGUCUCUAGGACGUUCCUAAAAAAAUUUGAUUUUUUCCCAUAGUAAUGCAUGGG